GACGAACGCUGGCGGCGUGCUUAACACAUGCAAGUCGAACGGUAAGGCCCUUCGGGGUACACGAGUGGCGAACGGGUGAGUAACACGUGGGUGAUCUGCCCUGCACUUCGGGAUAAGCCUGGGAAACUGGGUCUAAUACCGGAUAGGACCACUGCCUGCAUGGGUGGUGGUGGAAAGCUUUUGCGGUGUGGGAUGGGCCCGCGGCCUGUCAGCUUGUUGGUGGGGUGAUGGCCUACCAAGGCGACGACGGGUAGCCGGCCUGAGAGGGUGACCGGCCACACUGGGACUGGGAUACGGCCCAGACUCCUACGGGAGGCAGCAGUGGGGAAUAUAGCACAAUGGGCGCAAGCCUGAUGCAGCGACGCCGCGUGAGGGAUGACGGCCUUCGGGUUGUAAACCUCUUUCAGCACCGACGAAGCGCAAGUGACGGUAGGUGCAGAAGAAGGACCGGCCAACUACGUGCCAGCCGCCGCCGUAA
rnacentral:rRNA from 1 species